GGGGGUGAAAGGGCUCGACGGGGGCUAUGAGGCUCAGGUGGCAUGUCGUGGCUCCGUCGCCACGUUAAAAGGCGGAAACAAACACAAACGCCAAUAGUGAACUGGCAGUCGCUGCUUAAUUAAAGCAGCACGCUACCCUGAGAUUGCCUGUGUUUCAGGGAUAGCGUCGGACAGCAGGCUGGCUACAGGGAUUUUCCCCUGACCCUGGUGCGAGAUUAAGGGGGAUGGAGUCUUAGGGAGCCUGCCUGCUGGCAACCUGAGAUUCGAGACUGAGUAAACAGGAUAAGCAUGUAGAAGCCUGAGAGUAGUGCUUUCGGACGCGGGUUCAAUUCCCGCCACCUCCACCA
rnacentral:tmRNA from 1 species